GGGACACUGCGGGCCGGGCUCUGCAACGCGCUGUGCGGAUUUGCGGUGGCUGCAGCCUUGCUGGCGCCCAGAGCGCUGUCGUGACCCCGGGGUUCCCAUGUUCCUGGAUCCCUCGUCUCAGAGGGGAACAUUACUGAUGCCACACAGUGGCUCAUGCCCACCUAAGAGCCCUGCUCCAGGUGGCAGCCUCCUUCUGUGCAGGAGCUGGGCUGCAGGGGCGGAAGGAAGCUGUGGUGUGCUUAUGGACGCCUUUUCCUGGAAGCAGAGGGAGAAAAUCAAGCUCCCACAGGCGGCGUGGUAGAUGGGGCAAGAAUGCUCCAGGAGAAGACGGGAUGCCAAGAUUCCAGAUCUUUCCUAGGAACCAUCCAGGUUCAACAUACCAUCCGGGCACCAUCCAGGUACCAACGUACCAUCCAGGGCUCUGUGAUAUCUACAUGAAUUCUUUACAAGGGAAAUGCUGCCUGAAGACCUUCUCGACUUAGAGUUUCCACUAUAUCUCAGCAUCUCCAUACCAGGGACCAGAGUCCCAGUGUGUGACUCUUCAGGAGACUCACUCAUGCUAUACGUGACCAUAGCAGCCUCUGAUCCAUCCAUCAAAGCCAGAGAAAUGCUGGGACUGCUGCAGCCAAAGGAAAA